UGCCUUAUCGUCUAAUGGUAGGACACCCGCCUCUGGAGCGGGCAAUCUUGGUUCGAGUCCAGGUAGGGCAGC
rnacentral:tRNA from 1 species